GUCUAAAUAUAAGCGCUCUUAUACUGUGAAACUGCGAAUGGCUCAUUAAAUCAGUUAUAGUUUAUUUGAUGUUGACUUACUACUUGGAUAACCGUGGUAAUUCUAGAGCUAAUACAUGCGUUAAAGUCCUGACCUCUCGGGGAAGGGAUGUAUUUAUUAGAUCCAAAACCGAUGCAGUCGAAAGGCUGGUUGUUGGUGAUUCAUGAUAACUGAACGGAUCGCAUGGUCUUGCGCCGGCGAUGACUCAUACAAAUAUCUGCCCUAUCAACUUUCGAUGGUAAGGUAGUGGCUUACCAUGGUUGCAACGGGUAACGGAGAAUUAGGGUUCGAUUCCGGAGAGGGAGCCUGAGAAACGGCUACCACAUCCAAGGAAGGCAGCAAGCGCGCAAAUUACCCAAUCCCGACACGGGGAGGUAGUGACGAUAAAUAACAAUGCAGGACUCUAACGAGUCUUGCAAUUGGAAUGAGAACAAUUUAAACCCCUUAACGAGGAACAAUUGGAGGGCAAGUCUGGUGCCAGCAGCCGCGGUAAUUCCAGCUCCAAUAGCGUAUAUUAAAGUUGUUGCAGUUAAAAAGCUCGUAGUUGGAUUUCGGAGCGGAGCUCACGGUCCGCCUUUUUGGGUGUGCACUGUGCUGUUCUGUUCUUCUUCUCGUGGAGCGUGUGUGCUCUUCACUGAGUGUGCACGUAACUCGGGACUUUUACUUUGAAAAAAUUAGAGUGUUCAAAGCAGGCCUUGGCUUGAAUACAUUAGCAUGGAAUAAUGAAAUAGGACUUUGGUUCUAUUUUGUUGGUUUUCGGAACCAAGGUAAUGACUAAUAGGGACAGUUGGGGGCAUUCGUAUUCAAUUGUCAGAGGUGAAAUUCUUGGAUUUAUGGAAGACGAACAACUGCGAAAGCAUUUGCCAAGGAUGUUUUCAUUAAUCAAGAACGAAAGUUGGAGGUUCGAAGACGAUCAGAUACCGUCGUAGUUCCAACCAUAAACGAUGCCGACUAGGGAUCGGUGGAUGUUAUUAAAUGACUCCAUCGGCACCUUAUGAGAAAUCAAAGUUUUUGGGUUCCGGGGGGAGUAUAAUCGCAAGAUCGGAACUUAAAGGAAUUGACGGAAGGGCACCACCAGGAGUGGAGCCUGCGGCUUAAUUUGACUCAACACGGGAAAACUCACCAGGUCCAGACAUAGUAAGGAUUGACAGAUUGAGAGCUCUUUCUUGAUUCUAUGGGU
rnacentral:rRNA from 1 species